GCUUUAAGAAUUAUUAAGUGAAUAUGUUAUAAAUGCUAAUGGGAGGGUGAAAUGGAUGUAUUUUGAAGGCUUGUGAAAGAGUUGGUGUGAAUUCUUAGAGGGCUUUGAGAGGGUUUUGUGAGUUAUAUAGAAAUUUAAGCAUGGUUUUAGGGAUUAGGGGAUGUGGAUGAGGGUAGUGCAGUCCAAGAUAAGGUAUGAUCUUAAUUUUCU
rnacentral:lncRNA from 1 species